rnacentral:rRNA from 1 species
GAAAGGCGGCUUUGCUGUCACUUAUAGAUGGAUCCGCGCCGUAUUAGCUAGUUGGUAAGGUAACGGCUUACCAAGGCAACGAUACGUAGCCGACCUGAGAGGGUGAUCGGCCACACUGGAACUGAGACACGGUCCAGACUCCUACGGGAGGCAGCAGUAGGGAAUCUUCCGCAAUGGGCGAAAGCCUGACGGAGCAACGCCGCGUGAGUGAUGAAGGUCUUCGGAUCGUAAAACUCUGUUAUCAGGGAAGAACAAAUGUGUAAGUAACUGUGCACAUCUUGACGGUACCUGAUCAGAAAGCCACGGCUAACUACGUGCCAGCAGCCGCGGUAAUACGUAGGUGGCAAGCGUUAUCCGGAAUUAUUGGGCGUAAAGCGCGCGUAGGCGGUUUUUUAAGUCUGAUGUGAAAGCCCACGGCUCAACCGUGGAGGGUCAUUGGAAACUGGAAAACUUGAGUGCAGAAGAGGAAAGUGGAAUUCCAUGUGUAGCGGUGAAAUGCGCAGAGAUAUGGAGGAACACCAGUGGCGAAGGCGACUUUCUGGUCUGUAACUGACGCUGAUGUGCGAAAGCGUGGGGAUCAAACAGGAUUAGAUACCCUGGUAG